CCUACGGGUGGCAGCAGUGAGGAAUAUUGGUCAAUGGACGAGAGUCUGAACCAGCCAAGUAGCGUGAAGGAUGACUGCCCUAUGGGUUGUAAACUUCUUUUAUAUGGGAAUAAAAUGUUCCACGUGUGGGAUUUUGUAUGUACCAUAUGAAUAAGGAUCGGCUAACUCCGUGCCAGCAGCCGCGGUAAUACGGAGGAUCCGAGCGUUAUCCGGAUUUAUUGGGUUUAAAGGGAGCGUAGGUGGAUUGUUAAGUCAGUUGUGAAAGUUUGCGGCUCAACCGUAAAAUUGCAGUUGAAACUGGCAGUCUUGAGUACAGUAGAGGUGGGCGGAAUGCGUGGUGUAGCGGUGAAAUGCUUAGAUAUCACGGAGAACUCCGAUUGCGAAGGCAGUUCACUGGACUGCAACUGACACUGAGGCGCGAAAGUGUGGGUAUCAAACAGGAUUAGAUACCCUGGUAGUC
rnacentral:rRNA from 1 species